rnacentral:rRNA from 1 species
AGGACGAACGCUGGCGGCGUGCUUAACACAUGCAAGUCGAACGGAAAGGCCCGCUUGCGGGUACUCGAGUGGCGAACGGGUGAGUAACACGUGGGCAACCUGCCCUCAGCUUCGGGACAACUCCUGGAAACGGGUGCUAAUACCGAAUAUUGACCUUUGAUCGCAUGGUCGUGGGUUGAAAGUUUUUCGGCUGGGGAUGGGCCCGCGGCCUAUCAGCUUGGUUGGGUGGGGUGAUGGCCUACCAAGGCGACGACGGGUAG